rnacentral:misc_RNA from 1 species
GAUGAAGAACGUAGCGAAAUGCGAUAAGUAGUGUGAAUUGCAGAAUUCAGUGAAUCAUCGAAUCUUUGAACGCACAUUGCGCCCCUUGGUAUUCCAUGGGGCAUGCCUGUUCGAGCGUCAUUUGUACCUUCAAGCUUUGCUUGGUGUUGGGUGUUUGUCCCGAGGGACUCGCCUUAAAGUAAUCGGCAGCCAGUGUUUGGUUUUGAAGCGCAGCACAAGUCGCGAUUCAAGGCUACACGCCCGCUUCCACAAGCCUUUUUUCACUUUUGACCUCGGAUCAGGUAGGGAUACCCGCUGAACUUAAGCAUAUCAAUAAGCGGAGGA